rnacentral:rRNA from 1 species
UACGUAGGGUGCGAGCGUUGUCCGGAAUUACUGGGCGUAAAGGGCUCGUAGGUGGCCAACUAAGUCAGACGUGAAAUCCCUCGGCUUAACCGGGGAACUGCGUCUGAUACUGGAUGGCUAGAGAUUGGGAGAGGGAUGCGGAAUUCCAGGUGUAGCGGUGAAAUGCGUAGAUAUCUGGAGGAACACCGGUGGCGAAGGCGGCAUCCUGGACCAACACUGACGCUGAGGAGCGAAAGCCAGGGGAGCAAACGGG